AUUUUUACGGUUAAAUCAUUGUUGUUGAGAGUUAGAGUUGGGUUAGGGAGCAGUUAGGAGUUUGAUUCUUGCUUUGUCUGUGGUUUUUAAUUACAGCACAUGAAAAUAUAAGUUGAGCUAUACUAGAUAGAUUUAAGUGGGGGUUAGGGAGCUCAGUUCUCAGUGCAUAGGAUUGGUUUAUAAAGUGGUCUUUGAUCCAGUAAUCGGUUUAAGCUCAGGCUAAAACUGUGCCAGCAGCCGCGGUUAUACUGAUAGGGUGAUUACAGGUUUGUCGUGAUUGAGAUAGGGAAAAAUUUCUGGGUGUUAGCCGGGUCUAUUGGAGUCAAAGGGUGAAAUCUGUUAGUUGUUGGUAGGCUUAGUUUAGAUCUGGAGAGUUUGAUCUUUCAAAGGCUAGGGGAUAGAAUAGGAUUAGAUACCCUAACAUACUUGGCGGAAAUUAAUUUAAUCUUGGGGUAGUAAACAGGUAUAAUCUCGAAACUCAAAGAAUUUGGCGGUACUCAAGUCCAGUUAGAGGAACUUGUGCAGUAAACGAUAGUCCGCGAGAAUCUUGCCUUAUUUUGUAGGUCUCAGUUUGUAUACCGCCAUUAUUAGAUAAUCUUAAUAGAGAGUUAUUGUAAUUAAUUUAAUUUAAAUAUAUUAGGUCAAGGUGCAGCUUAUAGUAAGGUUGUUGUGAGUUACAGUGGCAUGGGGCGAAUACGGAUAUUCUGAGGGAGAAGCAGUUUUUAAGGUGGAUUUAAUUGUAACGGGCGUACACUUUGCGUCGUUGAUAGAGGCUCUUGGGUAUGUACACAUCGCCCGUCGUUCUCACUUUAAGGUGAGAUAAGUCGUAACAUAGUAGGUGUGCUGGAAAGGGUACCUAGAAGUAUAGCUUG
rnacentral:ncRNA from 1 species